rnacentral:miRNA from 1 species
CGAUCCUCCGUCUACACCUGUA